rnacentral:lncRNA from 1 species
ACACAAAAUGUUGAUCAUUUUCACGAUUGCAGACACAACAGAUGCUUCUUCAUCUCACUGGUCUCUAGAGGAAGGUAUGCUCUUAACAAAAUAAAUUUGAUCAUAUUAUCUAUUCAUAAAUUUUCUCACAUAAAUUUAUUCAGAUAUAAAAUUGACUGUUCCUAACAGUACACUGAAUAAUUUUGCAGGAAGAGAUAUUGUCUAAAGCAAAUGAGUGCCUUAGAAGAAAAGAAAAUGUAAUUUCCAAUUGCACGUAUUAAUUAGCUUACUGAAUUCUUUCCCUUGAGAAUAAAUAAUUUAACUCGUCAUUUCUGUCCUUUCUAGGAGGAGUUCAAUUGUUUCCCCAAAUUUCCUUCCACGAUUUUGUAACCCUUUGCAGAAUCGCAUGGGGAGGUUCGCAACAUUGUCUACUCAUCUGAUAGGAAAUCAGUAUCUAUUGUCUAUCAUGUGACUAUGGAACUGAUGCAGAGUACCCUUCUUUGCAUGGGAGUUAUAUGUGGUUCAGUUUGCAGAAUCUUGUUUGGUUUUACAUUGAUCUUGCAUGCUCAGUUUUUGGGCGUAUAACCAGUUUGUAGGUCCUACUAUUUGAUCUGUGGACGUGACCAAUGAGGGCAUGGAGAUUAUGGCGAGGCAUGGUGAUGCGGUGGCAGUGGUGAAGGUAACCACAUCGAAGGCAGCGGCAAUGGGUGGUUGUCGAUGAAAGCAACAUGGGGAUGGGGGAGGUGGAGAGGCGAGGGAUGGAGGCGGAGGACGGCAGCCAGGGAGACGGAGUGGCAGUGAGAUUGGACGAGCUCGCCUGCGGAGUGCGUGGGCAAGAUUUCAUUUCCGGGUUGGACGAGGGCUUCUUUGUUUGUGUGUGUGUGCAUGUGUGAGUUCACACCGAUACUCGACCAAAUAUUGUGCAUGGUUAUCUGAAAUUCUAGACAAUAGUUCACAUCCCAGUGGCAGGUAAGAACCUUCUUUUUAAUUUAUCAAAUGGCGUCAAUAGACCAUAAAAUUAUCUUCAUUUAUAAUACUAAAGAUAUGUCAAUACAUGUUCUUACAUUUAGGCUCCUAAACCUGUUGAAUGAGUUCUAUAUACAAGAUUUAUAUUGUCCUUCUAUAAAUUAAGACUACACUUGCUAUUGAUGACUCUAUAAUUGUCAACCUGGACAGUAACAACACACUAUCGUUUUAUCUCUCAAUGUGAGCAAGUAAGAUUUUUUUUUCAGAGCUUUAUUCUUUUGUAUUAUUUUUCUAUUACAGAAGUUGAUGCUCCAUCUUGUUAUUCAUUUCCUGGGAUCAUUUCUCGAGGAAUGUACGGAUUUCUCGAAGUGACGCAAUGCUAUGAUCUUCAACCAUGAAAAUGAAACUGUCAGCGCUGAUGGCCUGCUCCUGUGAUCUCAUAGGUACCAAAAUGCAGCUUAAAUCUCUUUUUGAGAAUUGGUUCCUGAUGUUACAUUUAGCUACUCCUGUAUAUCUUUUAGAUUUUUUUCUCUUUGUAAAUUUUGAUUUUUGUUUGCUCACCUUGUAAUCAACUCUGUAUUUGAUGAUUUAGAAAUCAGAAUUCAGUUUAACUCUGCAAUUAACCCUUAAUGAUAAUAUAAUUGUUCUGGUUGCACUCAUCCCUAAUUCAUAGCUUCACCAAUGGUGAUAGCAUUGUGUCAAGGAGCAGGUGGAGAGGGAGAAAGAGAAAGGGAGAAUGGAAGCCAAGUGAUAGACAAAGAGA